GGCCCUGAGGCGGGCGCCUCCCUGAGUGUGGGUCGCGCAGGCAUCGGCCCUGCGUGGCUGAGCUGAGAGAUGUUUGUGUGGCGUGCUGCGGAUAUUGGACCUAGAGUCCCUUGAGGGAUGGUUGCCUGUGUUGAUGGCUGUUCUGCAUGUACCAAGCACUGUGUUGAUGGCUUUACAUUGCUGUUAUCACAAAUACUUCCUCACUGCCUACCUUGCACCGGGCAAGGUUUAUUACCGAGGACACAGCUGUGAACAAGGUUUCUCACAAGAACCUCUCCUUGCAAAAACUAACCUGAAGCCCCUGAAAGAAGGAUCCUUGGAAACACAGAUCUUGCCCCUGCAAAGCCACUUUAGCUGGACAUGGAUGCAAAGAGAGCCCCAGACAUUCUGCGCGCAUGGCACAUCUUGGACAUUAUUCCAAAUAGAGUCAUCCUUUUUUAACCGCUGCAAAGAAUCCCAUCAUAUGGAUGAUCUGUAACAGGGGUCCCCAACCCCUGGGCGAGGACUAGCACCGGUCUGUGGCCUGUUAGGAAUGGGGCCACACAGCAGGAGGCUUCUGGAACUGUGAGAGAACACAUUUCCGUGGUUUUCAGCCAUCCAAGCGUUCAGAACUUUGUGACAGCAGCCUCUGGAAACAGCCUCGCAGCAGAAACCCACAUGGAAGGCAGUUCUGGAAGUGUGGCUCAGCCAGGCCCCGCAGGAGAUCAGAGCCACCCCAGCCUCUGAGAUGAAUGUCUCCUCCUCACGGAGUUUUGCCAAGCCCCCUCCCUAAACCAGGGAGCCAGUCCUCUGCCCGGCUCCUUCCUGGUGCCAACCACAGUGGCGAUUGCAUUGGGGCCCUGGACAGCCUUGCCAGGCUCCCUCAGGAGCCUGUCACUCCCUGAGGACAAAGCCCCAUGAGGUAGGUGCUGCCAUGAGCCCUAUUUUCCAGAUGAGGAAAACUGAGGCUUAGAAACAGUUAAGUGGCCCGUCCCAGAUCACAUGGCCAGCAUUAGAAAUGCAGUGAUAAGGAAGAAAGAGACUCUUCCAUGGAGAAAGACAACAUGUGGCAGAUAAAUAAAAGGGUUUGUAUUCCGAGGCUCAGUUGUCUGGGGCACGAGUGCUUGAAGGAGAAGAGAAGAGAAAAGCACACUGGAAUGCUUGCAUACGUGCUCCGGCAAGUUUGCAUCUGACUCUCAAGGCUGUUUCGUCACCUGAUCUCCCAGUGACUCUGAGAUGUGUGAUGAGUCCAGCUCAAGGAGUGGGGAGCUCAGGGGCAUGCCCACUGCCACUCAGCAGGUGAGUGACAAUCUCAAGUCAGGCAGUAUUCCAGACAGAAACCAAGAUGUGCUCACAGAGAGUUCAUUCACUCAUUCAGCAAAGAUUCAUUGAGUAUCAACUACAUACGGCACACCGCUCUGGGCUCUAUUCACGGUAGUGAACAAAUCAGACCAAAACACAUGCCCACAUUUCCAUGGCAGGAGAGAGACAAUGAACAAAUAAACAUGUAACUAUUGUAUUUCAGGUGGUGGUGUUAAGAGGAAAAGAAACAUGGGUUGCUUCUGAUAGACGGGCAAGGGAAAGCUUUAAUGGUGAAAUAUUUGAGCAGAGACCCAGAGGAGGUGAAGGAGGUGAAUAUCAGUAUGAGCCUUCCAGGCAAAUGGCACAGCAAGUGCAAAGGCCCUGAGGCUUUUUGCAGAACCAAGGACACAGCUGAUGCUUCUUGCUUUAUGCGUAAAAGCCCCUUAGUGUAGAAUUGCCAAACAGAAUACACCGUGAAAGGUUAAGUUUGCAUUUUAGAUAAACAAAGGCUCAUUGUUAGUGUAAGUAUGUCCCUUGCAAUUUGGGACAUAUUUAUUCUAAAAAAAUUAGUCAUUGUUUAUCUAAAAUUCAGAUUUAACUGGAUAGCCUAUAUUUUUUAUUUGCCACAUCUGGCAACUCAACUCAGUGGUUUGUUAUCAUGUGAGCUCUGGAAAUAAAAAUCUCAGGCUGGCUUUACAGGGGCAACUGGCUGGGUGAAAUAGGGGAUCAGAAUUGGGUCAUCCAGGCUUGAAUGCUGGCUUUGUCGUUUGUUAGUCAUGCUUCUUGGCCAAGUCCUUUGACCCCUGGGCCUCCAGAUCUUCAUCUGUGAAAUGGGAGAUACUGCAUCCAAUUUCAGGGCGAUUAGAAGACGAGAGCUAAUCAGCAAAGCUUGGACAUCAGAUAGCUGUGUCAUUCAUGCUAACUCUUAUUAGUUGUUGCAUCAUAUGUAAGAUGAGCUCAAAUCUGUUAAUCUUCCCAUACGAUCUUUUCACAUGAGUUGGGACUAACCUGUUAUAUUUAGAGUAAUGGUUUACCAAUGGGGAGGGAAUAAAGAUAAAACUCGAAGUAAAAGAAAGAAUACAAUUUUUUAAAUGAGGAGAAACACAGUGAAGGAGAGGAGAGAAGGAAGAAAACAACAGAGAUGGAGAGAAGCACGACGUGGGGUGGUGAGGAGUUCCCAGGACUCUGGGAGCGAGGAGCCCAGUCUAAUCCCUGAUUCACUGUAAGACUUUGGGCCCAGCAGUUUCUCUUUGGGUGUCAAUUUCUCUAUCUUCAAGAUGAAGGAAUUGAACCACGCUUCUGCAGGACUUUUGUUGUAACUGACUGGAAACUCCGUACACAAUGGCUUAAACUGAACAGUCCUGGGUGGGGCUGGCUUCAGGGAUAGUGGGCUCCAGGGGCUCACUGAUGCUGUCAGUCUCCUGCCUUUUCUUGUUUUACUGUCUUGUGGCUUCUCUCACAGGGCAGGCUCUCCCUGAAGGGAGGGAAGAUGACAGCCAGCAGCAGCCCCUGACCUAGCAACCCCAGUGGGAGGAGAGACCCCUUUACCGGUAGUUCUAGCAAAAGUUCUAAAAGUUGAAUCUCACUGGCCUGGAUUAGGUCACAUGACUGUCACUGAACCCAUCGCAUGGGCAUCUCUGGUUGACCAGGCUGGGUCAUGUGCCCAGUCUGAAUUUUAGAGAAGAGGAUAGUUCAACCUGAAAUACAGGGACUGAUGGUGAAGAAGGGGCAUUUCUACUGAGGAAAACAGAGGAAAUCUUGGCCAGGCACAGUGGCUUAUGCCUGUAAUCCCAGCACUUUGAGAGGCCAAGAUGGAUGGAUUGUUUGA
rnacentral:lncRNA from 1 species